UACGAACCGGCCAAACGUUAUUCGGAAUCAUUGGGCUUAAAGAGUGCGUAGGCGGUGCCGUAAGUCGGGUGUGAAAUCCCUCGGCUCAACCGAGGAACUGCGCCCGAUACUGCGGCGCUCGAGGGAGACAGGGGUGAGCGGAACUGAUGGUGGAGCGGUGAAAUGCGUUGAUAUCAUCAGGAACACCGGUGGCGAAAGCGGCUCACUGGGUCUCUUCUGACGAUGAGGCACGAAAGAUAGGGUAGCGAACGGG
rnacentral:rRNA from 1 species